rnacentral:rRNA from 1 species
UACGUAGGGGGCAAGCGUUGUCCGGAAUCAUUGGGCGUAAAGAGCGUGUAGGCGGUCCGGUAAGUCGGCUGUGAAAGUCCAGGGCUCAACCCUGGAAUGCCGGUGGAUACUGUCGGGCUCGAGUUCGGAAGAGGUGAGUGGAAUUCCUGGUGUAGCGGUGAAAUGCGCAGAUAUCGGGAGGAACACCGGUGGCGAAGGCGGCGACCUGGGUCGAUACUGACGCUGAGGUGCGAAAGCGUGGGGAGCAAACAGG